rnacentral:lncRNA from 1 species
CAAUUGUCUCAAUUCUCAGCCAUUGUCUCUUUCCUUUUGUUUGUAGGCCCCAGAACAAUACCCUCCUUCUUCUUAGCCAUCAUUUUGAAUAUUAGUAACCCUAGGACAUGAUUAUGGCGGCUUGGUGGAAAGUCCUAUUUGCUUUCUUACUCAAAAUGAUUCUUCCUAAAGAAAAAUCCUUUAAUCAUCUAGUAACACUUAUUAGCCCCAAUACACCACAUACACCCAAAGUAUUUGUAAAAUUAUGUUUUGGAAUUUAAUUUUUUAAAUUGCAUUAUAUUAUGCGCUAUAUCACAAUUUUAAAAUAAUUGGAUCGAUCAUAAUUUCUAGAUUUUCCGUAAGAAAAAAGAAAUCUAAUCAAAUAAUGUUACAUGGACAACACACACCAGAGAUUAAUGAUCAAUAUUUUGAAAAUAGUAAUAGUAGUCUCUGAACUAUUGGAAAAUCUCCUUUUCUCCUCUGUGUUAAUAACAUCAUAAAAAUGUUUAAAAACU